rnacentral:rRNA from 1 species
CUUCCGUAGGUGAACCUGCGGAAGGAUCAUUACCGAGUGAGGGCCCUCUGGGUCCAACCUCCCACCCGUGUUUAUUUUACCUUGUUGCUUCGGCGGGCCCGCCUUAACUGGCCGCCGGGGGGCUUACGCCCCCGGGCCCGCGCCCGCCGAAGACACCCUCGAACUCUGUCUGAAGAUUGUAGUCUGAGUGAAAAUAUAAAUUAUUUAAAACUUUCAACAACGGAUCUCUUGGUUCCGGCAUCGAUGAAGAACGCAGCGAAAUGCGAUACGUAAUGUGAAUUGCAAAUUCAGUGAAUCAUCGAGUCUUUGAACGCACAUUGCGCCCCCUGGUAUUCCGGGGGGCAUGCCUGUCCGAGCGUCAUUUCUGCCCUCAAGCACGGCUUGUGUGUUGGGCCCCGUCCUCCGAUCCCGGGGGACGGGCCCGAAAGGCAGCGGCGGCACCGCGUCCGGUCCUCGAGCGUAUGGGGCUUUGUCACCCGCUCUGUAGGCCCGGCCGGCGCUUGCCGAUCAACCCAAAUUUUUAUCCAGGUUGACCUCGGAUCAGGUAGGGAUACCCGCUGAACUUAAGCAUAUCAAUAAGCGGAGAUCAUUACCGAGUGAGGGCCUCUGGGUCAACCUCCCACCCGUGUUUAUUUUACCUUGUUGCUUCGCGGGCCGCCUUAACUGGCCGCCGGGGGCUUACGCCCGGCGCGCGC